rnacentral:rRNA from 1 species
UACAGAGAGUGCAAGCGUUAAUCGGAAUUACUGGGCGUAAAGCGCACGUAGGUGGACACUUAAGUCGGAUGUGAAAUCCCCGGGCUUAACCUGGGAACUGCAUCCGAUACUGGGUGUCUAGAGUAUGGUAGAGGGAAGUGGAAUUUCCGGUGUAGCGGUGAAAUGCGUAGAUAUCGGAAAGAACACCAGUGGCGAAAGCGGCUUCCUGGACUAAUACUGACACUAAGGUGCGAAAGCGUGGGGAGCAAACAGG